rnacentral:tRNA from 1 species
GCUGGAGUAGCUCAGUUGGUAGAGCAACUGAUUCGUAAUCAGUAGGUCGGGGGUUCAAGUCCUCUUUCCAGCGCCA